UACAGAGGUCCCAAGCGUUGUUCGGAUUCAUUGGGCGUAAAGGGUGCGUAGGCGGCGCGGUAAGUCGGGUGUGAAAUCUCGGAGUUUAACUCCGAAACUGCAUUCGAUACUGCCGUGCUUGAGGACUGGAGAGGAGACUGGAAUUUACGGUGUAGCGGUGAAAUGCGUAGAUAUCGUAAGGAAGACCAGUGGCGAAGGCGGCCUUCUGGACAGUGACUGACGCUGAGACGCGAAAGCGUGGGGAGCAAACAGG
rnacentral:rRNA from 1 species